rnacentral:miRNA from 1 species
GGGGGUUCCCCGGUGCUCGGAUC